UAAGGAGGGGGCAAGCGUUGAUCGGAAUUACUGGGCGUAAAGCGCGUGUAGGUGGCUCGGUAAGCCGAAUGAGAAAGCCCCGGGCUCAACCCGGGAAGUGCAUCCGAAACUGCCGAACUAGAGUCCCGGAGAGGAAGGCAGAAGUCCCAAUGUAGGGGUGAAAUCCGUAGAUAUUGGGAGGAAUGCCGGUGGCGAAGGCGGCCUUCGGGACGGUGACUGACACUGAGACGCGAAAGCGUGGGGAGCAAACAGG
rnacentral:rRNA from 1 species